rnacentral:rRNA from 1 species
CGAGAAACCUUGUGGGAAUGAGCGGGGACCACCCCGUAAGGCUAAAUACUCCUUAGUGACCGAUAGCGCAUAGUACUGUGAAGGAAAGGUGAAAAGGACCCCGGGAGGGGAGUGAAAGAGAACCUGAAACCAUAUGUUUACAAGCUGUGGAAGAGCUUUACAUGCUCAACCGCGUACUUUUUGUAGAACGGUCCGGCGAGUUGCGCUGGCUGGCGAGGUUAAGGACUGAAGGUCCGGAGCCGAAGGGAAACCAAGUCUGAAUAGGGCGAAUAUAGUCAGUCGGAGCAGACCCGAAACCGGGUGAUCUACCCAUGUCCAGGUUGAAGUUGCCGUAAAAGGCAAUGGAGGACCGAACGCACAUCCGUUGAAAAGGGUGGCGAUGAGGUGUGGGUAGGGGAGAAAUUCCAAUCGAACCCGGAGAUAGCUGGUUCUCCUCGAAAUAGCUUUAGGGCUAGCCUCAUACGAGUCUUGCGGAGGUAGAGCACUGAAUUUCCUAGGGGGCGUCAAAGCUUACCGAAGAAUAUCAAACUCCGAAUGCCGCGUAGAUGAUGUAUGGGAGUCAGACUAUACGAGAUAAGUUGGAUAGUCGAAAGGGAAAGAGCCCAGACCACCGGCUAAGGUCCCAAAAUGUGUGUUAAGUGGAAAAGGAUGUGGGAUUUCGAAGACAACCAGGAUGUUGGCUUAGAAGCAGCCAUACAUUAAAAGAGUGCGUAAUAGCUCACUGGUCGAGAGGUCCUGCGCCGAAAAUGUCCGGGGCUGAAACACACUACCGAAGCCGUGGAAUCAUCGCAAGAUGAUUGGUAGAGGAGCAUUCUUAAAGAGAAGAAGCUGUACUGUAAAGAGCAGUGGAUUUUUAAGAAGAGAGAAUGCCGGAAUGAGUAGCGAGAGGAAGGUGAGAAUCCUUCCGGCCGAAUAUCUAAGGUUUCCAGAGUAAAGCUGAUCUGCUCUGGGUAAGUCGGGGCCUAAGGCGAGGUCGAAAGACGUAGUCGAUGGAUAACAGGUUGAAAUUCCUGUACUAUGAUAUGACAGAACUGUGGGGACACGUGUGGAAAGCGGAAGCCGGGAAUGGAAAGACCGGUGCAAGCAAGGUAGGAGACUGGUUGGCAAAUCCGCCAGUCAAUCUGAAGAUGUGAUGCGUACUGAAAUAUAAGUAAGGAAGUCCGUGAGCCAUGCGUCAAGAAAAGCCGCUAUUGUUCAUAUCGUACCCGUACCGUAAACCGACACAGGUGGAUGAGGAGAGAAUCCUAAGGCCGACGGGAGAAGCAUUGUUAAGGAACUCGGCAAAAUGACUCCGUAACUUCGGGAGAAGGAGUGCCAGUGAGAGCUGGCCGCAGAGAAUUGGCCCAAGCAACUGUUUAGCAAAAACACAGGUCUAUGCAAAACCGAAAGGUGAAGUAUAUGGGCUGACGCCUGCCCGGUGCUGGAAGGUUAAGAGGAGAGGUUAGCGGUAACGCGAAGCUUUGAAUUUAAGCCCCAGUUAACGGCGGCCGUAACUAGAACGGUCCUAAGGUAGCGAAAUUCCUUGUCGGGUAAGUUCCGACCCGCACGAAAGGCGUAAUGAUUUGGGCACUGUCUCAACAAUGCACCCGGUGAAAUUGAAAUACCAGUGAAGAUGCUGGUUACCUGCGCCAGGACGGAAAGACCCCAUGGAGCUUUACUCCAGCUUGAUACUGGGAUUCGGUAUUGCAUGUACAGGAUAGGUGGGAGGCUAGGAAGUGAUAACGCCAGUUGUCACGGAGCCGCUGUUGGGAUACCACCCUUGCAGUAUUGGAUUUCUAACCAGCGACCAUGAACUGGUCGGGGGACAAUGUCAGGUGGGGAGUUUGACUGGGGCGGUCGCCUCCGAAAGGGUAUCGGAGGCGCUCAAAGGUUCCCUCAGAAUGGUCGGAAACCAUUCGAAGAGUGCAAAGGCAGAAGGGAGCUUGACUGCGACACCGACGGGUGGAGCAGGUACGAAAGUAGGACUUAGUGAUCCGGUGGUAUAAAGUGGGAUUGCCAUCGCUCAACGGAUAAAAGCUACCCUGGGGAUAACAGGCUUAUCACUCCCAAGAGUUCACAUCGACGGAGUGGUUUGGCACCUCGAUGUCGGCUCAUCGCAUCCUGGGGCUGAAGUAGGUCCCAAGGGUUGGGCUGUUCGCCCAUUAAAGCGGUACGCGAGCUGGGUUCAGAACGUCGUGAGACAGUU